UACGUAGGGUGCGAGCGUUGUCCGGAAUUAUUGGGCGUAAAGAGCUUGUAGGCGGUCUGUCGCGUCUGCUGUGGAAAAUCCGGGCUCAACCCCGGACUUGCAGUGGGUACGGGCAGACUAGAGGUGUGGUAGGGGAGACUGGAAUUCCGUGGUGAUAGCGGUGAAAUGCGCAGAGUAGUCAGGGAGGAACACCGGUGGCCGAAGGCGGAUCUCUGGGC
rnacentral:rRNA from 1 species